rnacentral:hammerhead_ribozyme from 1 species
AGCCAGAUGACGAGUCCAAAGUAGGACGAAAUGCGCAUCCUGGAU